rnacentral:lncRNA from 1 species
CCUCUAGCUCUGAUAUCACUUGUCGGAUCAUUGGCAUUAACCAUUAAUCCUAAAAUUUCGAGCUGUUAGAAAUACGCAACUAAUUCACUGAAAGCGUACAGAUACAACGCCCACAAGUUUCAAUUGUGACUCGGACCACUCGACCUAAUGCCACUUCGAACAUGACUCGGUCUGCCCAACCUCACGCCAUUUCGAACGUGACUCGGUCCAACCCGACCACCCGUCAUAGGGCAAAAUGCUGGCCCAUUUAAACCAACAUAUCAGACUCAAAAUCUACUACUAUAA